rnacentral:rRNA from 1 species
GUUAGGAAUAUUGGACAAUGGGCGAAAGCCUGAUCCAGCCAUGCCGCGUGAACGAUGAAGGCCUUCGGGUUGUAAAGUUCUUUAGCCGAUGAUUAUAAUGACUGUAGUCGGAAAAUAAGCCCCGGCUAACUUCGUGCCAGCAGCCGCGGUAAUACGAAGGGGGCGAGCGUUAUUCGGAAUCACUGGGCGUAAAGCGUGCGUAGGCGGUGUUGUAAGUUAGGAGUGAAAGACCAGGGCUCAACCUUGGAAUUGCUCUUAAAACUGCAAGGCUCGAAUCUCGGAGAGGAUAGCGGAAUUUCCAGUGUAGCAGUGAAAUGCGUAGAUAUUGGAAGGAACACCAGUGGCGUAAGCGGCUAUCUGGACGAGUAUUGACGCUGAGGCACGAAAGCGUGGGGAUCAAACAGGAUUAGAAACCCCGGUAGUCC